GGUCUCAUCGUCUAUCGGUAAGGACGCGAGAUUUUCAUUCUCGAAAGGGAGGGUUCGAUUCCCCCUGAGACUA
rnacentral:tRNA from 1 species